rnacentral:sRNA from 1 species
AGAUGUGAGGGCAAUCUAGCUUUGACAUCUGUUACCCCACUGAUCUCCAGGGUUGAUUUGGCUGAUCUGGCUGGCUGGGUGUCCUCUUCCUCCCUCACUGCUCCAUGUGUGCCCCUCCCAGAGCUGCAUGCUGAUGAAAGAGGAUGACCUUCCCUGCUAGAACUUCCAAACAAGCCCUCAGGAGUCCUAGAUGCUGGACUGUGACCCCUGGAGAGAAAUUUUUACUGGUGCACUAAUGGGUUCUGAGGCUCAGCCCCAUUCAAU